UGGGUAGCUCAGUCGGCAGAGCCUGACACUCUUAAUCUCACGGUUGCGGGUUCGAGUCCAACACGGGGCGCAA